UACGUAGGCAGCAAGCGUUGUUCGGAAUUACUGGGCGUAAAGAGUGCGUAGGCGGUUCCGCAAGUUUGUCGUGAAAUCUCCCGGCUUAACUGGGAGGGUGCGGCGAAGACUGCGGGGCUUGGAGUGUGGGAGAGGUAAGCGGAAUUCCUGGUGUAGCGGUGAAAUGCGUAGAGAUGUGGAGGAACACCGAUGGCGAAGGCAGCCCCCUGGGUCAAGAUUGACGCUCAUGCACG
rnacentral:rRNA from 1 species